rnacentral:rRNA from 1 species
CCUACGGGAGGCAGCAGUGAGGAAUAUUGGUCAAUGGACGAAAGUCUGAACCAGCCACGUAGCGUGAAGGAUGACUGCCCUAUGGGUUGUAAACUUCUUUUAUAUGGGAGUAAAAUGUUCCACGUGUGUGAUUUUGUAUGUACCAUAUGAAUAAAGAUCGGCUAGCUCCGUGCCAGCGGCCGCGGUAAUACGGAGGGUCCGGGCGUUAUCCGGAUUUAUUGGGUUUAAAGGGCGCGUAGGUGGAGGGUUAAGUCAGUUGUGAAAGUUUGCGGCUCAACCGUAAAAUUGCAGUUGAAACUGGAAGGCUGGAGUGUAGGAGAGGUGGGCGGAAUUCGUGGUGUAGCGGUGAAAUGCGUAGAUAUCACGAAGAACUCCGAUGGCGAAGGCAGUCCACUGGACUGCAACUGACACUGAGGCUCGAAAGCGUGGGUAUCAAACAGGAUUAGAUACCCGAGUAGUC